CAGUUUCCAAUAGAAGUUACAACCAUCCUAAUACAAAUCAUCUUUUAAAACCUUCAGAGCUCUUCUGGCAACUGCAAGUCAGUUGGAGACCAGAACACAUUUCUCCCUUGUCCACGUUCCUGCAGUGGAUCCUUUCUGGGCUGCAGCAGCUGUUGCAGGGGAUUUUUUUCCCCCUGGAAAAUUCAAAUAUGGGAAUUUUGAUCAUCAGAAAGGCAGAAAUGUCAGUAAGAAAGUGGCAGAGCUCUACAGCCUUGGUCUGGUUUUGCUGUUCAGGGUUUAUUGUUCGGCUGAGAAAGCCUUGAAGAUUCCCAAACCAGUGACAUGAAAACCAAGCUGGUGUAAAUUACCACGGCUCAAUGCAGCUGAGCAGAUUUACAUCAUUUGAAGACGCAGUCCUUGGCAUGUUGGAGCAGCCUGCUUUUCGAGAACCUGGCAGUUAGUGUGCCAUGGAUAGCAUUUACAGCACCUCUCACCCUGCAAAUCCAGUGCUGGCCUGCUGUGAUCAGGUAAUUUUGGGAAAGAAGGGCUAGCACCCUUGCUUUGUGAGGUGGUUUGCAUCCUGUUCUCUGUGUUGCUUUGCUUGGCUCAUGUGAAACAGUGGAGCAAGGGUGAUUUUUGGGGGGUCUGUACACCCCACAGCCCUCGUGGCACAGGUUGGGAGGGCUCCCUGUGCUGCCCUUGUGCUUGCUGCUCCUCACCCC
rnacentral:lncRNA from 1 species